rnacentral:sRNA from 1 species
GCCAUGAUGUUAGUCUUGGCACCAGCUAGAGAGUAAGAGCCAACUUGGUCCUGACCCAUCUUCAGCAUAUCGGCAAACAAGGCUUGCAGAAUUUUGUUGUCCCAGCGACGAAUGAUGGCAUCUGUAUCAUACAUCUUACUGCCCUGCGAAGAGGUCAGUUCGAAUUUGAACAGAGGUUGUCGGCUUUCUGGGUCAAACGCUUGAGGAAGGAUAAGUCCAGAUUGUUCAUUCAUUUGAAUGUUACGAAUUACUCGCUUGUAGUAUUCGUAGACUGCCCUCUCAGCUUCUGUAGCAUCUUCGGACAUAUAUCGAGGAGGCAGAUAGAGCGUAGGCAUACCGUUCAUAUCGCGUGUUACGCCAACGGACUCUUGCUCUUCAAUCUCUACUCGAUAUCUCCAAGCGUUAUAGCACGCACGGAGAGGGCUGUUACCUUCAGGACUGUCACGUUUAGCAUCGACCCGGAAAAGAAGCAUCUUCUUAGCUGGAAUCUCUACAGUUCCGUCCUUAUUACCUAGGUUGACGUAACGGUCGCCAUUGACAACAUUGGCAAGACUUUGCUCACACCCUAGGAAGUUUCUACCGUCUUCAGAGUACAACCAUU